rnacentral:lncRNA from 1 species
AAAAGUUAAAACAGCCACAGAGAGAGACAGAGAGAGAUAGAGAGAGAGAGAGCAUUCUAGAAAAUACGCCAUACGACCCAACAAAACCUCUAUCUCUCUCUCUCUUCCGUGUGCGUUUAUCAUCGUACUUUUAUCUUCGAUUCUUCUAUUUUCGAUUUCAGUUGUCGUGAAAUAAUGGAGUCUCACGAUGAAACAGGAUGCCAGGCACCAGAGCGAUCCAUACUUUGCAUCAAUAAUUGCGGCUUCUUCGGAAGAGCUGCAACCAUGAACAUGUGUUCCAAGUGCUACAAGGACACGCUGCUGAAGCAGGAGCAGGACAAGCUUGCUGCAUCAUCGGUUGAAAAUAUCGUGAACGGAACUUCCAAUGGCAAAGGAAAACAAGUCGUAACUGCAGUAGCUAUUAACGUGCAAGUUGAAAAUGUCAAGGUCAAGACAGUCUGUAAUGAGAUUUCUGCCUAUUCAACCUCUGCCGAGAGUUUGCAAAGCAAGGCCAAAACAGGUCCGAGCCGAUGCGCCACAUGCAAGAAGCGUGUUGGGUUAACCGGUUUCAGCUGCAAAUGUGGAAACCUCUUCUGUGCAAUGCACCGCUAUUCCGAUAAACAUGAUUGCCAAUUUGAUUAUAGGACUAUCGGCCAGGACGCCAUAGCUAAAGCCAACCCUGUAAUUAAGGCAGAUAAGCUUGACAAAAUCUAGACAUGAACAAAAAGACCGAAGGUUAAUGUAUGAAGCUCGAUGUGUCAUCUUUUAUCAGCAACUCCUCAAUCAUAUAUAUAAACUGCUUGGCUUUUUAGGUGUCCUAUAGUGAUUAAAAUGGUCUAUGUCAUGGUAACAAGGACAUCUUUUAGGGAAAACCUGCAUCCCUUGUUGAUUGGUGAGAUUCACUUGUUAGCUCCAGUGUGAGUGUUUGUGUUGGUUUGAUGGAUUCCUUUUCUAAUUUGAUUCCUGCUUGGUCUGUUUUUUUAUCUUCUUAAUGCAUGAACUUCAUAUUUGCCUAGUUUUUAUGUGCUCUUGUUACUGAAUUGUUUUAAAAUCUGU